rnacentral:rRNA from 1 species
GGUGGAGUAAUGCUUGGGAAUCUAGCUUAUGGAGGGGGAGUAACUACGGGAAACUGUAGCUAAUACCGCGUAAUAUCGAAAGAUUAAAGUGUGGGACCUUUCGGGCCACAUGCCAUAGGAUGAGCCCAAGUGGGAUUAGGUAGUUGGUGAGGUAAAGGCUCACCAAGCCGACGAUCUCUAGCUGGUCUGAGAGGAUGACCAGCCACACUGGGACUGAGACACGGCCCAG